UGGACACAGAUCAACAGAUAAUCACUGAGUCAUUGAUCUGGAGUCGAUGGUUAACACUACAGACACCUUCCACCACUCUGUUAAUAUGGAGUAGUUUUACCUCAUUCCCAGACCAUCGUUUACUGCCGCUGUCUACACUGUUGAAACCAGAGUCCAGCCCUCCGAACUGACCUGUGAACAGCUCCUGGUCCGACAGACUGGAGGGAAACAUGCAGACUACUCCCUCCUGCCCCUCCUCCUCCUCCUCC